AUUGAACGCUGGCGGCAGGCCUAACACAUGCAAGUCGAACGGUAACAGGAAGCAGCUUGCUGCUUUGCUGACGAGUGGCGGACGGGUGAGUAAUGUCUGGGAAACUGCCUGAUGGAGGGGGAUAACUAGUGGAAACGGUAGCUAAUACCGCAUAACGUCGCAAGACCAAAGAGGGGGACCUUCGGGCCCCUUGCCAUCGGAUGUGCCCAGAUGGGAUUAGCUAGUAGGUGGGGUAACGGCUCACCUAGGCGACGAUCCCUAGCUGGUCUGAGAGGAUGACCAGCCACACUGGAACUGAGACACGGUCCAGACUCCUACGGGAGGCAGCAGUGGGGAAUAUUGCACAAUGGGCGCAAGCCUGAUGCAGCCAUGCCGCGUGUAUGAAGAAGGCCUUCGGGUUGUAAAGUACUUUCAGCGGGGAGGAAGGGAGUAAAGUUAAUACCUUUGCUCAUUGACGGUACCCGCAGAAGAAGCACCGGCUAACUCCGUG
rnacentral:rRNA from 1 species